GUGGGGAAUAUUGGACAAUGGGCGCAAGCCUGAUCCAGCCAUGCCGCGUGAGUGAUGAAGGCCCUAGGGUUGUAAAGCUCUUUCACCGGAGAAGAUAAUGACGGUAUCCGGAGAAGAAGCCCCGGCUAACUUCGUGCCAGCAGCCGCGGUAAUACGAAGGGGGCUAGCGUUGUUCGGAAUUACUGGGCGUAAAGCGCACGUAGGCGGACAUUUAAUUCAGGGGUGAAAUCCCGGAGCUCAACUCCGGAACUGCCUUUGAUACUGGGUGUCUGGAGUAUGGAAGAGGUGAGUGGAAUUCCGAGUGUAGAGGUGAAAUUCGUAGAUAUUCGGAGGAACACCAGUGGCGAAGGCGGCUCACUGGUCCAUUACUGACGCUGAGGUGCGAAAGCGUGGGGAGCAAACAGGAUUAGAUACCCCAGUAGUCC
rnacentral:rRNA from 1 species